rnacentral:rRNA from 1 species
UACGUAGGUGACCAGCGUUUGUCCGGAUUUACUGGGCGUAAAGAGCGCGCAGGCGGUCGUUCAAGUCGAGUGUGAAAGCCCCCGGCUCAACUGGGGAGGGUCAUUCGAUACUGAUCGACCCGAAGGCAGGAGAGGGAAGCGGAAUUCCCGGUGUAGUGGUGAAAUGCGUAGAUAUCGGGAGGAACACCAGUGGCGAAGGCGGCUUCCUGGCCCUGUUCUUGACGCUGAGGCGGCGAAAAGCUAGGGGAGCAACGGGG